CGGGGGAAAUGAACUGAAAGUUUGAUCCAGAUUGAACGCUGGCGGGAUGCUUUACACAUGCAUAAUGUAUAGUCGGACGGCAGCCGGGCUUCGGCCUGGUGGCGUGGCGACGGGUGAGUCGCACUAUUGGAGCGGAACGUGCCCAGUAGCGGGGGAUAACUACGCGAAAGGUGGCUAAUACCGCAUACGCCCGCGGGGACCUUCGGGCCCGGCCGAUAUCGGAUUUGGCUAGCUAGUUGGUGGGGUAACGGCCUACCAAGGACGAUCCGUGCUGGUUUGGACGCCAGCCACACUGGGACUGGACACGGCCCAGACUCCUACGGGAGGCAGCAGUGGGGAAUUGGACAAUGGGGGCACCCUGAAGCCAUCCCGCGUGUGCGAUGAAGGCCUUCGGGUGAAAGCACUUUUGCAGGAAAGAAACGGCACGCUAAUAUCCUUGCAACUGACGGCCCAGAAUAACACCGGCUAACUACGUGCCAGCAGCCGCGGUAAUACGUAGGGUGCAAGCGAUCGAAUCUGGCGUAAAGCGUGCGCAGGCGGUUCGGAAAGAAAGAUGUGAAACCAGGGCUACCUUGGAACUGCAUUUUUAACUACCGGGCUGGAGUGUGUCAGAGGGGGUGGUUUAGCAGGGAACACCGAGGAAGCGCCUCCUGGGAUAACACUGAGCUCAUGCACGAAAGCGUGGGGAGCAAACAGAUUAGAUACCCUGGUAGUCCACGCCCUAAACGAUGCAACUAGCUGUUGGGGCCUUCGGCCUUGGAGCGCAGCUAACGCGUGAAGUACGCCUGGGGAGUACGGUCGCAAGAUUAAACUCAAGGAAUUGACGGGGACCCGCACAAGCGUGGAUGAUGUGGAUUAAUUCGUGCAACGCGAAACCUUACCUACCCUUGACAUGUCUGGA
rnacentral:rRNA from 1 species